rnacentral:rRNA from 1 species
ACGACUCUCAUCAAUGGAUAUCUUGGCUCUUGCAAUGAUGAAGAAUGCAGUGAAAUGUAAUACAUAGUGUGAAUUGCAAAAUUCUGUGAAUCAUCGAGUCUUUGAAUGCAGGUUGCGACCGUGGCUCAUGCAAGGGCAUGCCUUCCUGAGCGUCCCC